GCUCAGAUUGAACGCUGGCGGCAGGCUUAACACAUGCAAGUCGAGCGGUAACAGRUSUAGCUUGCUAGAUGCUGACGAGCGGCGGACGGGUGAGUAAURCAUAGGAAUCUGCCCAGUAGUGGGGGAUAGCCCGGGGAAACCCGGAUUAAUACCGCAUACGCCCUACGGGGGAAAGCAGGGGAUCUUCGGACCUUGCGCUAUUGGAUGAGCCUAUGUCGGAUUAGCUAGUUGGUAGGGUAAGAGCCUACCAAGGCAACGAUCCGUAGCUGGUUUGAGAGGAUGAUCAGCCACAUCGGGACUGAGACACGGCCCGAACUCCUACGGGAGGCAGCAGUGGGGAAUAUUGGACAAUGGGGGCAACCCUGAUCCAGCCAUGCCGCGUGUGUGAAGAAGGCUUUCGGGUUGUAAAGCACUUUCAGUGAGGAGGAAAACCUUUGGGUUAAUAACCCUGAGGCUGACGUAC
rnacentral:rRNA from 1 species